AUUGAACGCUGGCGGCAGGCUUAACACAUGCAAGUCGAACGAGUGGCGGACGGGUGAGUAAUGUUUGGGAAUCUGGCUUAUGGAGGGGGAUAACUACUGGAAACUGUAGCUAAUACCGCGUACUAUCGGAUGAGCCCAUGUGGGAUUAGGUAGUUGGUGGGGUAAAGGCUCACCAAGCCGACGAUCUCUAGCUGGUCUGAGAGGGUGAUCAGCCACACUGGGACUGAGACACGGCCCAGACUCCUACGGGAGGCAGCAGUAGGGAAUAUGGCGCAAUGGGGGAAACCUGACGCAGCCAUGCCGCGUGAGUGAAGAAGGCCUUCGGGUUGUAAAGCUCUUUCGGUAGAGAAGCGUUAACUACAGAAGAAGCACCGGCUAACUCCGUGCCAGCAGCCGCGGUAAUUC
rnacentral:rRNA from 1 species